rnacentral:rRNA from 1 species
GCAGCCGCCACGGUAAUACGUGGGUGGCAAGCGUUGUCCGGAAUUAUUGGGCGUAAAGGGCUCGCAGGCGGUUUCUUAAGUCUGAUGUGAAAGCCCCCGGCUCAACCGAGGAGGGUCAUUGGAAACUGGGAAACUUGAGUGCAGAAGAGGAGAGUGGAAUUCCACGUGUAGCGGUGAAAUGCGUAGAGAUGUGGAGGAACACCAGUGGCGAAGGCGACUCUCUGGUCUGUAACUGACGCUGAGGAGCGAAAGCGUGGGGAGCGAACAGGAUUAGAUACCCCGGUAGUCCCUGUCUCUUAUAC